GACGAACGCUGGCGGCGUGCUUAACACAUGCAAGUCGAACGGAAAGGCCCUGCUUGCAGGGUACUCGAGUGGCGAACGGGUGAGUAACACGUGGGUGAUCUGCCCUGCACUUCGGGAUAAGCCUGGCAAACUGGGUCUAAUACCGGAUAGGAGCCAUUUUUAGUGUGAUGGUUGGAAAGUUUUUUCGGUGUAGGAUGAGCUCGCGGCCUAUCAGCUUGUUGGUGGGGUAAUGGCCUACCAAGGCGGCGACGGGUAGCCGGCCUGAGAGGGUGGACGGCCACAUUGGGACUGAGAUACGGCCCAGACUCCGACGGGAGGCAGCAGGGGGGAAUAUUGCACAAUGGGCGCAAGCCUGAUGCAGCGACGCCGCGUGGGGGAGGACGGCCUUCGGGUUGGAAACUCCUUUCGCUAGGGACGAAGCUUUUUGUGACGGUACCUAGAGAAGAAGCACCGGCUAACUACGUG
rnacentral:rRNA from 1 species